AUGUAUCCACUUAAAGUGCUCAGCCAAUUUUUCUCAAUCGGGAACAAAUCAGUGAUCGAAGGUGUUUUGGCAAAAAUCCAUCAGGAGAGACCAGACUCCCCUGUACCCAGCUGUGAAUCCAUGAAGAGUGAACAGUCUUUGGGGAAACCAAUAAACUUCAGUGUUGGAGACUCCUCUACUAGCAAGGAGACCAACAGGAGAGAUCGGAAGCAGAUAUUUCCAGUGGUCAGUCUUCCCAAAGUCAUACAACAGACCUGGACUCAAUAUUCCUCAUGGGGUGGCAGGCAGCCUAGUGGUUAGAGCGUUGGACUAGUAACUGAGAGGUUGCAAGAUCGAAUCCUGGAGCUGACAAGUCACUUGAAGAGACUGUCAUCACUUUAGUGAAGAAAGAACUGAAGAGUUUCAAGAGGAUUCUCCCAGAAUGAGUCCAGAUCUCCCAGAAUGCUUAUAGAGUUAGAGAGAGGAUGCUGAAGAUGAGAAGCAGGAGAGCAGGGCCAGAGAGGGGGCUCUGAAGAUCACACUUCACUUCCUGAGGAACAUGAAACAGAAGUCUGUUUAUUAAUGUUUUAUAAACGGUUUUGUCUUUAGAUGUGCUUCUUGACAACAUAAACUCAAAUCCAACCUGAAGAAGAAGUUUUGGUGUGUGUUUGAAGGAAUAGCUGUCCUAGGAAACCCAAGUCUUCUCAAUAAGAUCUUUACAGAGCUGUACAUCACAGAGGGUGAAAGUGGAGGGGUCAGUCGUGAACAUGUGGUGAGACAGAUUGAGAUGGCAUGCAAAAACCAAACUACGCAAGAGACGCCAAUCAAAUGCAAUGACACCUUCAAGCUUUUACCUGGACAAGACAAGCCUAUCAGAACUGUGCUGACAAAGGGAGUCGCUGGCAUUGGUAAAACAGUCUCUGCGCAGAAGUUCAUUCUGGACUGGGCCGAAGGAAGAGCUAAUCAGGAUAUCCACUUCAUAUUUCCACUUCCUGUUCGGGAGCUGAACAUGAUGAUAGAGAAAAAAAACACUGUUUGAUUCAAGUUGUGGAAAACUGUUUUGUGUAUGUGAAGCAUUCUGGUAUCUCCAACUUUGACAAGUACAACGGUAUGUCUGUCCUUGAUGGUCUGGAUGAGUGCUGACUGCCCCUAGACCUCAAGAAAAAUGAUAGCUGCUGUGAUGUCAAACAGUCAACCUCAGUGGACAUGUUGCUGACAAACCUCAUCAAGGGGAAACUGCUCCACUCUGGACAACUUCCCGACCUGCAGCAGCCAAUCCGAUCCCUUCUGAGUAUUUGGACCAGGUGACAGAGGUACUAUGUUUCAACGACCCACAGAUAGAGGAGUACUUCAAGAAUAGAAUCAGUGAUGAGAACCUGUCCAGCAGAAUCAUCACACAUAUUAAGUCAUCAAGGAGACUCUACAUCAUGUGCCACAUACCAGUCUUCAGUUGGAUUACGGCCACUGGUCCAGAGAGACUGUUGGUUGAAGCAGAGGGUGGAGAGAUGGCAAGACUCUGAAACAAAUGUACUCACACCUCCUGGUUUUUCAGACCAAACAGAGGAGUAAAGUCAAGUUUUACUUUAUCUUGUUCAACACUGUACACCAAGUCAGAACUGUAGGAUAAAUAAAGGGGGCUUAAAAGCAGACCAUAAAAGCUCUUACAAUAUUCAAUGAUGACAUUUCUCUAAAACAGGCUAUAGGCUACAUAUGCACCAGUAAGUCAGAACAGUAGGCUAAGUUAGGAGAGGAAAGGGGACACAAUGAUUAGGGUGAGCCACAUGGGCUACUAACAGCUUACUUCACAGCAUACACUUAGUAUUACUUUCUUAGCAACAGUAUACAUAUCUCCCUGGCAUAUUACAUCAUUUAUGCAGCAGCUUCCAAGACAUUUUUGGACUCACCUUAUUGUGCUGUGCUCACUUGAACAGGAAGGUGGGGAAAUUUUGUCAUCAAAGUCUGGCAUUCUCUGGAUUGAUGGUGCUUUCAAGACAACUGGGAACUCGGAAAAAAACAUGGUUGAAUAAUAAGGUCAUUGAUCAUCAGUUUGGAGCUCUAGGAGGAGGCCCGAGUUCCCAACUUGGAAUUCCGAGUUGAAUGACCGAGUUGAAUGUAUUUUUCCAGUUGGAGCUCGUUUUUUCCCGACUUCACAGUUGUCUUGAACUCACUGAAGUCACGUUUUCGUAGUUCUGAGUUAAUAGUAUUUUGAGUGCGGCACAACUCAUGCUUCAUUGACAGCAUGGCCAAUGUUGAAAGUUUAUUAUUCAAAACUUGGAAAAUAACCCCUUAAAACCUCUACGGGAUCGAUGUCCUCUCCCAUGGGAGAUAUAUGAUUAGCAUGACAUUGUAAGUAACAAGAACAUUUCCCAGGACAUAGACAUGUCUUAUAUGGGCCGAAAGCUUAUAUUCUUGUUAAACUAACUGCACUGUCCAAUUUACAGUAGCUAUUACACAGUGGUUGAAAAAGUACCCAAUUGUCAUACUUGAGUAAAAGUAAAAAACCUUAAUAGAAAAUGACUCAAGUAAAAGUCCCGCAGUAAAAUUCUACUUGAAUAAAAGUCUAAAAGUAUUUGGUUUUAAAUACACGUAAGUGUCAAAAGUAGAAGUAUAAAUAAUUUCAGAUUCCUUAUAUUAAAUAAAGCAGAUGGCACCAUUUUCAUAUAUUUUAUUUAAGCAUUGCCAGGGGCUUUCGCCAACACUCAGACAUAAUUUACAAAUGCAGCAUUUGUUUAGUGAGUUCGCCAGAUCAGAGGCAGUAGGAAUGACCAGAGAUGUUCUCUUGAUAAGUGUUUGAAUCAGACCAUUUUACUGUCCUGCUAAGCAUUCAAAAUAUAACAAGUACUUUUGGGUCCAAGGGAAAGUGUAUGGAGUAAAAAGUACAUCAUAUUCUUUAGGAAUGACUUAAGUAGUACUUUCAAGUAUUUUUACUUAAAAGUACUUAAGUACUUUACACCCCUGCUAUUACAGUGAAAUAAUACCAUGCUACUGUUUGAGGAGCAUGCACAGUUAUGUACUUGAAAAUGUAUCAAUAAACCAAUUAGGCACAUUUGGGCAGACAUUUUGAACAGUGAUGCAAUGGUUCAUUGGAUCAGUCUAAAAUGAUGCACAUACACUGCUGCCAUCUAGUGGCCAGAAUCUACAUUGCGCCUGAACUGCAAGAAUACUGUGUGGCCUUUCUCUUGCAUUUCAAAUAUGAUAUAGAAAAUUAUAUUCAAAGUGUUUCCUUUCAAAUGGUAUCAAUAUUAGGCAUAUCCUUGCUUCAGGUCCUGAGCUACAGGCAGUUAGGUUUGGGUAUGUCAUUUUAGGCGAAAAUUGAAAAAAAGGGUUAGAUCCUUAAGAGGUUAUUAAUCACAGAUUUGGGACCACACAGCCACUCGACUGAAUAGCAGGCUAGUGAUUACAUUGCAAUGCUUGCAGUUAGCUACUGUCACUGAUCCUUCCAAACCACUCAUUGUUGAAUUUGCGAUUUCCAACUUGUUGUGUAAUGUUUAUCGUUUUUUCAAUAUUUUCUCUUCAUUCUUUCUCUUCAUAUGACGAGGAUUAUUGAUGACUGCUAGAUUUUGAAAGUAAGAUGAUGACAUGAUCAGUCCAAUCAAAGCUACUGUACAUAAAACAUGAUUUGACAUAAUUUUAUCUGUGGCGAAUGACCUUGAGCCUUCUUGGAUGGGCACUUAUACUGUAACUCUAUGGCAGCACCCAGAGGCUAGAAUUUUCUAUCUCUACCCUUAGACUUGGAGGUGACGUGGUGUCCCCAUAAGUGACAGAACACUGAGCCAAUCACGGUGCAAUGCUCUGUAUUUUCUGCUGGCUUGCUCCACCACCACAGAAAGCACUGAGCUAGGCUGAAACAUCUGCAUUUUGGAGCUGCCUUACUCAGGAAAACAAAAUAGAGACCAUGUUUGUAUGUAGCUUUAUUAACUCAAUUAUAUAAAUCUUUUUUUUUUACAUUGUUUGCAAACUAAUAUGUGACAAGUAUUAAUGACAAAAUAACAUGCAAAACAGGCAAGCCCAAAAAAACAAACAAAAAAAAAAAAAACAUUUUUGCAAAAACUCUGGUGCUCAAAACAGAGCCCCACCUGCCCUGAAUUACAGGUCGCCACUGAUGAUAAUGCACGGCCCCAUGUCACAAGGAUUUGUAAACAAUUCCUGAAAGCUGAAAAUGUGGCAGUUCUUCCAUUGCCUGCAUACUCACAAGACAUGUCAGCCAUUGAACAUGUUUGGGAUGCUCUUGAUUGACGUGUACGACAACCUGUUCCAGUUCCUGCCAAUAUCAAGCAAAUGUGUGCUGCAUGGAGCAAAUGAUGGUCACACCAGAUACUGACUGGUCUUCUGUUCCACGCCCCACUACUUUUUUUUAAGGUACCUGUGACCAACAGCUGCAUAUCUGUAUUCCCAGUCAUGUGAAAUCCAUAGAUUAGGGCAUACUUAUGUAAAUUGACUGAUUUCCUUAUGCAAACUGUAACUCAGUCAAAUCUUUGAAAUUGUUGCAUGUUGCGUUUAUAUUUUUGUUCAGUAUAUAUUAUUAGUACAAAUCUGUUAUUAACAAACUCUUGAAGCCACUGGAAUUUGGUUAAAUGCAGGGAAACUUAUAUCACUUCUACCAAAUUUCCAUCAACAUGUUAAAUGUGCAACCAGAGAGAAAAAAAAUUCUAGAUCACCUGUACUCCACACACAGAGACGCGUACAAAGCUCUCCCUCGCCAUCCAUUUAGUAAAUCCGACCACAACUCUAUCCUCCUGAUUCUUGCUUACAAGCAAUAAUUAAAGCAGGAAGCACCAGUGACUCGGUCUAUAAAAACAAGUGGUCAGAUGAAGCAGAUGCUAAACGACAGGACUGUUUUGUUAUCACAGACUGGAACAUGUUCCGGGAUUCUUCUGAUGAGAUUGAGGAGUACACCACAUCAGUCACUGGCUUUAUCAAUAAGUGUAUUGAGGACGUCGUCCCCACAGUGACUCUACUUACAUACCCCAACCAGAAGCCAUGGAUUACAGGCAACAUCCGCACUGAGCUAAAGGGCAGAGCUGCCGCUGUCAAGGUGCGGGACUCUAACCCGGA
rnacentral:lncRNA from 13 species